GACGAACGCUGGCGGCGUGCUUAACACAUGCAAGUCGAACGGAAAGGCCCUGCUUUUGUGGGGUGCUCGAGUGGCGAACGGGUGAGUAACACGUGAGUAACCUGCCCUUGACUUUGGGAUAACUUCAGGAAACUGGGGCUAAUACCGGAUAGGAGCUCCUGCUGCAUGGUGGGGGUUGGAAAGUUUCGGCGGUUGGGGAUGGACUCGCGGCUUAUCAGCUUGUUGGUGGGGUAGUGGCUUACCAAGGCUUUGACGGGUAGCCGGCCUGAGAGGGUGACCGGCCACAUUGGGACUGAGGUACGGCCCAGGCUCCUACGGGAGGCAGCAGUGGAGAAUAUUGCACAAUGGGCGGAAGCCGGAUGCAGCAACGCCGCGUGCGAGAUGACGGCCUUCGGGUUGUAAACCGCUUUCGCCUGUGACGAAGCGUGAGUGACGGUAAUGGGUAAAGAAGCACCGGCUAACUACGU
rnacentral:rRNA from 1 species